UAGAAAAUAAUUUAAAGUCUAAUCUGCCCACUGAUUAAUAAUUGAAGGGCUGCAGUAUAUUGACUGUACAAAGGUAGCAUAAUCAUUAGUCAUUUAAUUGAUGACUUGUAUGAAGGAUUGGAUGAAGUAUAAACUGUCUCUUAAAUAAAUUAUAGAAUUUAAUUUUUAAAUUAAAAAGUUUAAAUAAAUUAAAAAGACGAGAAGACCCUAUAGAGUUUUAUAGAUAAUUUAAUUAAAGUUAUUUAUAAAUUUAAAAUUUUUAAUUAAAUUAUUUAUUUUAUUGGGGUGAUAGAAAAAUAAAAUUAACUUUUUUUAUAAUUAAACAUAGAUAAGUGAAUAAAUGAUCCAAUAUUAUUGAUUAUAAGAAAAAAUUACCUUAGGGAUAACAGCGUAAUUUAUUUUUUUAGUUCAUAUAAAAAAAUGAGUUUGCGACCUCGAUGUUGGAUUAAGAUAAAAGUUAAAUGCAAAAGUUUAAAUUUUUUGAUCUGUUCGAUCAUUAAAAUCUUACGUGAUCUGAGUUCA
rnacentral:rRNA from 1 species